rnacentral:lncRNA from 1 species
GUCGAUGUAAAAAUUGCUUUAUAAAAUACAUUUAAUUGACAUACAAAUGUCACACCCAUUCAAAAUGUUUUUUCAUUGUUAUUUAUUCAUAAUAUAUAGUUUGAUAAAAUACACUUUGUUUACAAGUGCUGAUUACUAUAUUACAUUCACCUGCAUUUUAAAAUGGAGACUUUCCCAUCUAAAAACAGCAAAAAAAUUACAGACUGAUGGGAACACACCCUUCACAAGACAAACAGACAUUUUCAAACCAUUAUUGGAUGACACUUAAGAAACGUUUCCUCCUAACCAAGUCUAUCCUCACCCUUUACUUUCUGUCCUUCGGUUUAAAAAUGGGAUCGAAUCAAUAUAUCCCUCUGAAUUUAAGCUAUUGAUGGGUUAAAAAAAGUAAAUCAUGGUUUGAGAGAAAAGGACAAAGUGGAGUAGGCUACUGAAUCAAUAAUUCAACGCUCUCUUAAACUUUACGAGAUGUCAGCUGCCUUUUUUACAAAAUGUGGGUAAAAACGACUUUCUCUUUGCAAUCCAUCACAUACACAAGUCAGUUAAUAGAACAACAUCGAAAUUCAUAAAAAAUAUAUAAUUAAUACUAGAUGUUGGGGAAACCAAAUUAGACUAAAACAUGUAUUUAUUUAAAAUAAAAUGUAUACAAUUUUAUAGGUGAUCAAAUGAAUUAACAAAGUUUGCAAUGAUAGGGGUCAAAUCAUAAAUAUUGGGUCUCUCAUCUUUACAAGAGAUGCACCCUUCAUAUAUGAACCAUUUGGCUGCUUCCAAAUGGCCCCCUAUUCCAUAUAUAAUGCACUACUUUUGACCACAGCCCAUUUUGGAUGCAGACUUUGUGAACUUUUUGAGACUAUAAAGAAUCAUGUGACUGUAAAUAAAGACGUCAACUAACUUUUAAGCACACACACACACACACACCCACACCUGGAUCCAAUCCACAGACCACUUACAAAUGGUGCCAUGAAAUUGUAUUCAUUUUCCCCCAAAUAAGCACAUAAUGCUGAAAAUAUGUGUAAGACAAAACAAUGCCCCAUAUCUUAUUAACCAAAGUCGUUACAAGAGCAUACAGUUCAGAUGGUUACAAUAUUCCAGGCAGGACUUCAGUGGAAAAGGACAUGUAGAUUUCCAUAAAAAUACAUGGGUCAUAUAGAAUCAGAAAACUUGGGGAUGUUUUUUUUGCUACAAAAGUUAUGUUGUGGUCUGUCCACUCUUUCACACAAAAACAUAAGAAAAAGGGACAGCCAAUAUACACUCACCGGCCAGUCAAUAAGGUAUACCACCCCAUUCACGAAAAUUGAUCACUCCUACAGACAGUGAGUCACGUGGCCGUGGCUUGCUAUAUAAAGCAGGCAGACAGGCAUUCAGUUACUGUUCGAUUGAACGUUAGAAUGGGCAAAACUAGUGACCUAAGAGACUUUGAGUGUGGUAUGAUCGUUGUGCCAGGCACACCUGAUCCAGUAUCUGAGAAACGGACACCCUCCUGGGCUUUUCACGCACGAGUGUUUAGCGUUUACCGAGAAUGUUGCGAUAGUCCUGUGGGUGAAAACAGCUCAUUGAUGAGAGUGGUCGAAGGAGAAUAGCAAGAAUCGUGCAAGCUAACAGGCGGGCCACAAACAGACAAAUAAAAGGCGCAGAACAACAGUGGUGUGCAGAACAGCAUCUCGGAACGCACAACUCAUCAACCCUUGUCACGGAUGGGCUAUUGCAGUAAACGACCACCAUUCCAUUCCUAUCAGCUAAAAACAAGAAGUGUUUCUAGUGGGCACGUGAUCACCAACACUGGAUAAUUGAGGAGUGCAAAAACAUAGCCUGGUCCGACAAAUCCUGGUUCCUGUUGCGUCAUGCUGAUGGCAGAGUCAGUAUUUGCCGUAAGCAACAUGAGUCCAUGGUUCCAUCCUGCCUGGUGUCAACGGUACAGGCUGGUGGCGGUGGGGUACCGCCGUCCAAUCUGCAGCAACUGUGUGACGCCAUCACGUCAGCAUGGACCAACAUCCCUGUGAAACGUUUCUGACUUGUAGAAUCCCCGCCCCGAACAAUUCAGGCUGUUCUGGAGGCAAAGAGGGGUCUGACCCGAUACUAGAUGGGUGUACCUAAUAAACUGGCCGUUGUACUGUAUAUCAUUCUAGUAAAUACCCUGUUGUUUUUAAAAAUGCUUUGUAAAUAGAUUUUUUUAUAUUAAAAUAUAUUACUUUGUUUAACUAGUCAGACACUUAAAAACGAGAUCUGAUCAUUUUGUUUCAUAAGGUGACUUUGGCAUCUUACCAUGGAAAUUAUUUCUAUAAAAUAUACCGUUACACAGCAACUAUCUUGAGUUUUAGUCAGAUCAUUUCAAAAAUAUGAUUGAUACAUUUUGAUUUUAUAAUUGCAAUCACCAUGCAUACCCAUAUGAUGUUCCUUUGUUUUAUAUGUAGCUAGUAAAUUGUAUCUCUACCGCCUAUCAACCUGAAUACUGUACCUGGAGCCUAUACAACUUUGAAUGGUUUCAUGAUAGCACAGCAUUUAGCGUUAAAAUACACAUUUCUGCGUAGUUUCUUUUAGAGAUAUAAACUCCUUUGCAAUUAAAAACAAUAAAAUGUUGGAUAUGCUUAAGCAAGGAACAUAAAGCUAAAUUAAUUUCUAAAUCUAGCUCAACGAAAGCCAAUAUUUACAAAGCAAAAGAAUAAUACAAGAACAAAUCUUCAUUUUUCUCCUUUCUUUCUCUGAGUGUUUUAAAUGUACAUCACUGCUAAUAGUUACUCUGCUAUACACAACAAACAUAUAUGAAAACAAAUGCGUCAUGAGACAGAAUAUCUACAAGUCGAGGUUUAUGGAGUUCAUGGAGUCGGGAAAACUUCACACGAUGAUCUGAAAUGGCAAAGACCUCCGUUUGUAGCUUGGUUCCAGAUCUGUUUGUGGUGUAUUGCUAACUCCUAUGGUCAUUGCCAUAAAACAACACAAACAGAUCUGGAAUCAGACUAUACUCAGCUUGCUCCUUGAAGGGCACUAUUUAUCAAUUUAUUUGUGAAAUGCUUUUACUUUUCAUCACCAUGUUAGAGUACAAACGCUGUACACUACAUGUACUAUACAGUCUCAGUGUCAGUCACCCCUGUUAGUAGAAACGCUAAGUGCAAUCGUUAUGUGAAAUAAUGUUUUAUAAUCUAAAUCAUUUGAAAUAUCUAUUAUCUUUUAACACAUCUGUAACUUUGUUUUUAGUACUAUAUAUAUAUAUAAAUGAUUGACUGCGACCUUUAAAAUCUAUAUAAAAUCAGUAUUUGUACUCCCCCCACCUACACACAAACCUCAAGGGGUCGAUGAAUAUAACUCCCUUCUUCACCUUUUAAAACAUCAUAACUUAAACUCCCGAAUGAGGAGUGGCAGUCUUUAUCAUAACAUUGUUAUUACGUUCUACAAAAAUAGCAACAUUCAUUUUUUUCUUCCUUUUUUAAAAUCUAAACUAUCUUUACAAAAAUAUAGCACAAUAACAUGUCCAAGUGCAAAAUAUUGCCAAGAUUCAACUUUUGUCUCAAGUCUGAAAGGUUAAGAUUUGAACUGAUCGGUGAAUUGUACAAAACAAACUAUUUUUCAGAUGUAAUAGAUGAAAGUGGAGGUUGUUGAGGAGAGGACAGCUCAUAAUAAUGGCCGAAACAGAGCAAAUGGAUGUAUUUGAUACCAUUCCACUUAGUUUCGCUAAGCAUGUCCUCCCCAAUUAAGGUGCCACCAACCUUGUUGUGUCAUCCAGUAUAAAUGAUUUGCCACCCCACUGAAAACCAUGUGCUGGGUUGAGUAUGGCCACUGUGCAUUUUACCCUGGUAACCAGGGUUAGGGUCAAUUCCACUUCAAUUCAGUCAAUUCAGGAAAUACACUGACAUUCCAAUUCGUCAUUCUUUUCAAAUUAGAAUCGGAAUUGAAAUAAAAACAUUUGAAUCAGUUUACUUCCAGAAUUUAAAUGGAACUGACCUUGCUCGUCACCGCUACUUGUUGAUGGUGGUAGAUGACUUGAUGCUGAUUUGUUCCUUGGUGCAAUAAUAAAGAACUGAAACAGAUAAUUUCUACAUUUUAUGUAGUGCUGAGCGAUUAGUGAUUUUUGAAGUCGGUUUGGUUUUGGUUCGAUUCCAAUUUUUUUUAAUCCGUUUUUCGAUUUUGAUGAUCUUUUUAAACAUUAAAUGCACUAUACAUUAUGUGAAUAAAUAAUAAAACAAUUAAUAAAAGUCACAUGAUGGUAAUGACUGGCCAUUGUUGUGUAUCACUGAUUAACCAUCAUUUAUUCACAUUAUUUUAUAAAAGUAUUUGUUUUAUUUUAUGACUUUUUUUUACUUCAUUCUGAGUCGUCAUCUCAUUUAGAGCUGCUGCCUAUGCUGUACAACAAAAAUCACUAUUUUGUAGUUCUUCAAAGUAAAUAAGGCAUACUUUUAUGACUGCUAAAUACCAACUAUCAAACACUUAGAUGAUGUAUUUUCAUGCUCGCGAAGCAACUGCAUUCGAGCUCUCUCGAUCGCGUGCUCUCUCUCCUCCCCAUGUCUUGCUCCACACAGACCGCACGUAGUUAUUAGCACGUUUUCUGAGCUAAACUAUGUAGAACAUGGUCCUGUUAGGAACUACAACUCCCUACUACAUCACACAGUUUCAGGCUUGAUCUGAUGUAACUCUACAGAAACUGCAUAGAGCUCACAGAAAUGCAAUUCAAAUAAUUGAACCGAGGAAAAAUAAUAGUUAUUCGCUCAGCACUACAUUAUUCCAUUAUUAGUAGUUUUAUCGUACCACUAGACACGAGACACAGAGGUUUGAAGGGCCAAUGCAAUCGUCAUGGCAGAAGGCCCCACACCCUUUACAAAUGAUCAUAGCCUUGAGUCGGCAGUAGCAUUUAGACUGAACGUCCUCUAUACCAGAUCCCUCCAUAAACCCCUGCUCUGGAGACCCCUCCCCCUGGCUGCUGUGGUCCAACGGGUGACCGGCAGGUAUGGUGGUGACGGUCACUGAGAAAGACAUGACACUGCCGGUGCCACUGCCGCUGUCCCCACCACUACCUGACACAGAGGGGGAGGCGCUGGAAGUGGUGCCUGAAGCAGCAGCAUUGUGAUUCAGAGCAUGAGGUACAGACAUGCUGAUGGUGCCACCGUAGCAGGAACCCACAAUGGAUUCCUGAUUAUCGAUUGGAGGUCUCUGGGUUUGAAAGGCAGACGAAUGCUGGUGAGUACUGGGGUCCAUGGUCCCCACGUGGGGAGAUACAGAUAAACGAUAUGGCUCGGAAUGACCACCCUGUUUAGUAUUGCAGAGUUCCGGGUGCCUCCUGUGCUGUGAUUGUGAUUGGGUGAAAGGUUUGGUUUCUUUGGCUCUUGCAGAAGUGCCACUGUCUCUAUCUGUACCGGCUGAACUGUUGUCCUCCUGCUCCGGUAUACAGCCCCCCACUGAUGGAGACUCAGACAUUACUCUGGAGCAGUGUUGAAAGUCAUCCAUUUUUGUGACUGAGAAGCCCUGCUCUUCCAUCUUGACUCCAGCAGGGUUAGAAUGAGACUUAUUCUCCACUGACUCCUCCCCUUCGUUAGCCAGCCUCCCCCCCAAUGUGCUCUCUCUUCAGAUUGGCCAGUGGGGUCAGUGAGGUGUUAGCCGUGGUCAAUGGGUGGAAGCGUUUACUGCUCUCUGAGCCUCGUCCGUACGUGGAGACAUUGAGGAGGUAGUGCCCUGACAGGGCAGGCCUGGACAUCCUCUUCCGUCCAGGGAACCCUGCGGAGAACCGGGGAUGGUCCCCACACUCCUGGUGCCCCAGAUUACAAGCUCCGAACUGUGCAGGCUGAGCUCCACCUGAGACCCCAAAUGGCUGGUUCUGGUGCUGGUGGGUGGCCCUGUGCAACAGAGCCUGAAGGAUCUGUUCCUGGAUGUCUUUGUUAGGUGUUUCCCUUUGAUGGCACUGGAGCUCUGCCAACAUUCCUGCUCUUGUUCCAGGUAUGGUGGAAGUGGACUGGCCUAUGGAUCCUUGCUGUUCAGAUCUACUGUAGUCCUCCACACCACCAGCGUGUAGGUAUUGGCUCUUAUUCUCACCACUGGCUGUUCCAGCAUUGCUGUGAGACUUUAUCGUCCCUUUGUCAUCAUGGCAUUUGGCCUGGGCCAUCUGGACAUCGGCCUUGGCCAGAGGCUUGGGGAGGAUCUGUUCCAGAGGGACCUCUUUCCCCUGGAGGAGAGAUGUGACCAGAGGGUUGUUGGCUGGGAUAAAGUGGAUAGCCCUAGCUGCCAUGGAGCUUCCAGAUACACCAGAUACAUACUGGCUCUUCACACCACACACAGAUGAAGUGUAGCUAGAGGUUGACUGGGGACCUGGUGGGUAUGACGUAUGUUGAAUGUUCCCAUGUUGAGGUCCCAUCAGAGAACCUGGGUUCAUCAGACCAUCGGAGUAGCCUCUCUGUUGGUCAUCAGUGAGAGACGCUCUACCGGUGUUGGAGCUUCUUUGAGACAGGCUAAGGUCAAAGGGCACAGAGGAGCCUGAUGAUUGGACCGAACUGGAGUGGGCUGGUGUGGUGACUGCAUCAGGUGAUUGACAGGUAGAUUGACCAGUGAUGCUACUUACUGACAGCCUGGUGGUUGACUGAGACUGGGUGGAGGAGGGGGGUCUGGAGUGGAGGGUCUGGGCUGAAGCUCUAUGCUCUACAUUGCCUCCUCCUGGUCCUGGGCCUGGUACUGCACCUUUAGAGGAGGAGCUGGCUGCAGCAGCUGCUGCUGCACGCUGGGCCCGGGCUAGCUGGGCUUUAGCCUUGAUGUCAGCCAGAGUGCGAGCACCAGUGCGUCCGGGGCUGGGGCCAGGGCUGAGGGGGACAGGGAGAGGUUACCACAGAUACUGUCGGUGGAGUGAUGCGGGCCCUCUUCUCUGGAGUCAGCUCUACUUCCUGUUCACUGGAUGAGGACUUCCUUUUCAACGGCUCUGGGGGUGGGGUGGUGGAUAUGGGGGUAGAUACAUGGCUGGAUAUAGGAGUAGAUAGAGGGGUGGAUACAGGGGUGGAUACGGGGGUGGAUACGGGGGUGGAUACGGGGGUGGAUAGAGGGGUGGAUACGGGGGUGGAUACGGGAGUGGAUAGAGGGGUGGAUACGGGGGUGACUGACACUGAGACUGAGGCACCUCUCUCUGGUGCAACAUCUUCCCUCCUCUCCCCACUGUGCUCGUCCAAGCCCAGAGGCUCUGGCUUUGAAAGGUCGGUCGGCAGUGAUGACCUGAGCUCCUUCUUGCAGCAAACCUCUGGAGGACUCUCCAGGGCAGGGGACUGUGGGAUCUCAGGGGAAUGGGGGGUCUCCGGCUGAGCUUCUUUCAGCUCCUGUUCCUCUUCCUCCAUCUGCUUCUCCCCAAGUGGAGUAACCAUUGAGGUUGAGUCCAUCACGUCCUGUCUCCUCACAACAGGUGCCUCCACUGCCAUUAUAGGCAGGGAUAAACCUCUGCUACGAGUCCUGUGUCUGGGGUACUCAACCGCCAGUGUCUUCUGUACAUUUUUCGGUAAUAUAACUGGUGGGACAACGGGUGGGACUGGUACUGUUUCUUCGUGAACAGGCUCUGGUUCCGGUCUUGGCUUGGAAGGCUCUAUGGGUUUAGAUGGAGGUUCUAUUGGUUUACAUGGAGAAUCUAUGGGUUUACAUGUAGGGUUUAUAGGCAGUGAUGAUGAUCGGAGCCUCCUCUCUGAAGAACGAGUAUGGCAGCUGUUCUCAGGGACCUUGGGAUCUUGCAGUGCUUGGCCAGCAGGACUUGGCUGAGUUGGAGGAGACAACUGGGGUUUGGUGGCUGAGAGCUCCAGACUGAGACCAGACUCAAGCAGCUCUUUGGAUUCCUCUAAGCUGAGUCCAGAGCUGGAUAGGAACAGAGGAAGGGAGAGAGAGAAAGCACGAGUGAGAGAGAGAGAGAGAGGGAAAGAGAGAGAGAAAUUUAGAGAGAUAAAGCACGAGAGAGAGAGGUCAGCCAACUAUAAAGAAAGGAUACAUCUGAGGGAUAUGCAAACAGAGGCUUGCAGGUAAAAAAAAAAGCUUGAAUGACAUAACAAUAACUACAAUGUAUUUUACAGAUUCCAGCCCUGAAAAAUGACUUACUUUUCACCAUAGUAGCUCUCAAAGAAACUUUCCUUCCAAUACUCCACCUUCUUCUCCUUUUCAAUCUCCUGACGCAUUCUCAGCUGCAACUCAGGAGUGAACUCACCUUCGUGGUUUGGAAAAUAUACAAAUUUUAAAAAAAGGUUUAUGAGACAUUUAAAAAACCUUGUGAAAAAUGAUGUUUAAUAAAAAGUUCUAUUUUGAAGCAGAAGCACAGUAGCCUGGUCCAAGAUCUGUUUACGCAGUCUUGCCAAUGGUCAUCAUCAUGCUAUUGACAAUUAGCGAGACGGCACAAACAGAUCCGGGACCAGGCUAGAAGCACUGACCUUCUGCCAGUCGUUCUUUCCAGGACUGAGCUGCUGAUGUGAAAAACUCAUUGUUCAAGGCAGAACUGGUGACCUUUAACAGACCAUCCAUACAGGCCUAAAGAUACAGACAGAGAUAACUUGUGUACAUCAUCAUAAACUGCAGUAUCAUUAUCACUAUCACAAUCAUCGUGACAAUCAUUAUCAGCAUUAUUGUCAUCACCAUCUGAUUAUCGAUAGUAUCAUCAUCGUCAUUAUCAUCAUCAGUUCAUAAAGAGAGAUGAGAGAGACUCCCCAUGGGAUUAUUUCCUGCAAAUACCUUGUGGAUGAUUACAGAAAUUAAUUGCAAGUUGAGUCUCUUGGUUUUAAACCCCUUUGUCGACAGAGACCUUACGGUGUCUAGUACCUGUUGGUCGACCUCAGGCAGCAGUGUGAGUAGCUUCUGUUGGCACUCUGUGGGCAGGACAGAGAAGGUGUGUUUGUUGAUCAGGGCACGCAGGUUGGUGUUAACCAGGAUAGAGUCUGGUGUC